GGGAAUAGUGUUACUAUUCCCACUACAGCCCAGAUGAAGGCGCGGAGCAAUUAGCCUCGUGUCUCCAUGUUGCUCAACUAUUCUUGGGGUAGCAGAACUUGAACCCAAAUCUGCAUGACCCUAAGUUUCCAGGUCCAGGGCUCUGAGAGGAAAACCAAACAGAAGAGGCCCCCCCCUAGCAAGACUGAAGACACAGCAGGUUGUCAAGGGGAGGAUGGAAAUUGGCAGACUAAGCACAAGCUGCAUAAACCCAGGAGAAGGUCCACAUUUACAUCCCAGUCCUGGCUAACCACUGUUAAAACCCAACUGGAAAUUAUCAGGGGGCCCUUCUGAAAUGAAUAUCCUAUUUAAUGAGAAGAAAAG